AUUAGGAAUCUUACACAAUGGGGGCAACCCUGAUGUAGCGACACAGCGUGGAGGAAGAAGGUCUUCGGAUUGUAAACUCCUUUUAUAUGGGAAAAAUAGAUGAUGGUACCAUAUGAAUAAGUACCUGCUAACUACGUGCCAGAAGCAUCGGUGAUGCGUAGGGUACAAACGUUAUCCGGAUUUAUUGGGCGUAAAGAGAAGCGUAGGCGUUUUUGUAAGUCUUGAGUUAAAGACCACGGCUCAACCGUGGAAAAGCUUUCGAUACUGCAAGAAUUGAGACAGGAAUGGGCGAAUGGAAUUCCGAGUGGAGCGGUGAAAUGCGUUGAUAUUCGGAGGAACAUCAGUGGCGAAGGCGAUUCGCUGGUCCUUGUCUGACGCUAAGGCUCGAAAGCGUGGGUAGCAAAACGGAUUAGAAACCCCGGUAGUCC
rnacentral:rRNA from 1 species